GUACACACCGCCCGUCACACCAUGGGAGCCGGUAAUACCCGAAGUCAGUAGUCUAACCGCAAGGAGGACGCUGCCGAAGGUAGGAUUGGCGACUGGGUGAAGUCGUAACAAGGUAAC
rnacentral:rRNA from 1 species